rnacentral:rRNA from 1 species
AUUGAACGCUGGCGGCAUGCCUUACACAUGCAAGUCGAACGGCAGCGCGGGAGCAAUCCUGGCGGCGAGUGGCGAACGGGUGAGUAAUAUAUCGGCACGUGCCCAGUAGUGGGGGAUAGCCCGGCGAAAGCCGGAUUAAUACCGCAUACGACCUGAGGGUGAAAGGGGGGGAUCGCAAGACCUCUCGCUAUUGGAGCGGCCGAUAUCAGAUUAGGUAGUUGGUGGGGUAAAGGCCUACCAAGCCUGCGAUCUGUAGUUGGUCUGAGAGGACGACCAGCCACAAUGGGACUGAGACACGGCCCAGACUCCUACGGGAGGCAGCAGGGGGGAAUUUUGGACAAUGGGCGCAAGCCUGAUCCAGCAAUGCCGCGUGCAGGAAGAAGGCCUUCGGGUUGUAAACUGCUUUUGUCAGGGAAGAAAUCCUCUAGGCUAAUACCUUGGGGGGAUGACGGUACCUGAAGAAUAAGCAACGGCUAACUACGUGCCAGCAGCCGCGGUAACAC